UAAAAGCGGCGCGUAGGCGGUUUCUUAAGUCUGAUGUGAAAUCCCACGGCUCAACCGUGGAGGGUCAUUGGAAACUGGGGAACUUGAGUGCAGAAGAGGAGAGUGGAAUUCCAUGUGUAGCGGUGAAAUGCGCAGAGAUAUGGAGGAACACCAGUGGCGAAGGCGGCUCUCUGGUCUGUAACUGACGCUGAUGUGCGAAAGCGUGGGGAUCAAACAGGAUUAGAUACCCUGGUAGUCCACGCCGUAAACGAUGAGUGCUAAGUGUUAGGGGGUUUCCGCCCCUUAGUGCUGCAGCUAACGCAUUAAGCACUCCGCCUGGGGAGUACGACCGCAAGGUUGAAACUCA
rnacentral:rRNA from 1 species